CAGCCGCCGCGGUAAUACGAAGGGUGCAAGCGUUAAUCGGAAUUACUGGGCGUAAAGCGUGCGUAGGCGGUGAGUUAAGUCUGCUGUGAAAUCCCCGGGCUCAACCUGGGAAUGGCAGUGGAUACUGGCUCGCUAGAGUGUGUCAGAGGAUGGUGGAAUUCCCGGUGUAGCGGUGAAAUGCGUAGAGAUGUGGAGGAACACCGAUGGCGAAGGCAGCCCCCUGGGCCAAUACUGACGCUCAUGCACGAAAGCGUGGGGAGCAAACAGGAUUAGAUACCCCGGUAGUCCCUGUCUCUUAUAC
rnacentral:rRNA from 1 species